AUGGUAAUCAAUUUCUUUGGUUCAAGAGGUGAUAUUGGCAAUUGGUUUAUUUGUGUGAAUUUUGACUGUACGUGUCAGAGUUUGAUAGUGCUAUUUAUGCUUUGGUCUUUUUCUAUUCGCAACAUGGUUGCGGUUUUAUUGAACACUUGCACUUGGGAUUUUUGUGUUAAUAUUUUUGAACUGGUUACAAACUAUUCAUGUAUGUGGAAAUUUGAGUAUGUGUCCCAUGUUAGCCCCUGUGGAUUGGAGAUGUGUGUAAGAUGUGAUUGA